rnacentral:rRNA from 1 species
CAGCCGCCGCGGUAAUACAGAGGGUGCGAGCGUUAAUCGGAUUUACUGGGCGUAAAGCGUGCGUAGGCGGCUUCUUAAGUCGGAUGUGAAAUCCCCGAGCUUAACUUGGGAAUUGCAUUCGAUACUGGUUAGCUAGAGUGUGGGAGAGGAUGGUAGAAUUCCAGGUGUAGCGGUGAAAUGCGUAGAGAUCUGGAGGAAUACCGAUGGCGAAGGCAGCCAUCUGGCCUAACACUGACGCUGAGGUACGAAAGCAUGGGGAGCAAACAGGAUUAGAUACCCCGGUAGUCCCUGUCUCUUAUAC